CUAAUGCACCUCCAAGCAACCCUGCUCCCAAUCCCAUUCCAAAUUUAUUCUUUUGCGGUUUCUGUACUCCUGGAUAUCCAUAACCCGCUUGUUGAGGCGGAUAUCCAUAACCAGCUUGUUGAGGCGGAUAUCCAUAACCCGCUUGCUGAGGCGGAUAUCCAUAACCUGCUUGUUGAGGAGGAUAUCCAUAACCCGGUUGAGUUGGUGGGUAACCACCAUAAGCCGCCGCCGGUGGAGGAUACGC
rnacentral:lncRNA from 1 species